UAGUAUACCCGGGUAGUCCUAGCCGUAAACGAUACUCGCUAGGUGUCGGCCACGGUGCGACCGUUGUCGGUGCCGUAGGGAAGCCGUGAAGCGAGCCACCUGGGAAGUACGGCCGCAAGGCUGAAACUUAAAGGAAUUGGCGGGGGAGCACCACAACGGGAGGAGCGUGCGGUUCAAUUGGAUUCAACGCCGGACAACUCACCAGGAGCGACGGUUACAUGAAGGCCAGGCUGAUGACCUUGCCUGAUUUUCCG
rnacentral:rRNA from 1 species